GGUGUGACCAUCUGAAAUCGCAAAACUUGUGCAGCACACCAGGUCAUCGCCCUCUGGGCCACCACAAUCACAAAGUUUUCCAACUGGUUUUUCAGUACAGUUCUUUUUCGCUGUUGGAGCUAGAAACAAGAAUUUUGCUGCACCUGCAAUAAGCUCUGCAAAUAUGUUUGGCUAAUAGAUACUGGGUGCCCCAUGUCAAGAAUAAACUACCAUUCGACCCAAAGGUCUUGGAGGAUGUCUAUGAGAAAGAGAUUCUAAAGUCCGUGUUUGCCAUUAGGAAGAUCAUGUUACUGGAGAUCAGGUGGAUUUUUGACCCUUUUUAAUGUGGCCUCAAUACAUUAUCAAUGAUAAUAAUUUAUCAUCAGAGAGAACGUCCCUGCCUGUGAGGUGUUUAAGAAGGUGCCAAGCCACUUCCCCUACUUAUUUAAGUGUGUGAUGGAGGAUAUGUCUCUGAAGGAACAGACUGUACUGUUGGUCUUCCUCCACCACUGCUUCAACAGCCUGGACAAUGACCAACACACCUCCAAGCUGUGUAAGGGCUAUUUGACGAAGAAGAGUGAUGGCAGUGCUGCAUCAGAUGACCUGGCCUCAACAAUCACCCGAC